rnacentral:rRNA from 1 species
AGAGUUUGAUCCUGGCUCAGGACGAACGCUGGCGGCGUGCUUAACACAUGCAAGUCGAGCGAUGAAGCUUCCUUCGGGAAGUGGAUUAGCGGCGGACGGGUGAGUAACACGUGGGUAACCUGCCUCAAAGUGGGGGAUAGCCUUCCGAAAGGAAGAUUAAUACCGCAUAAUAUAAGAGAAUCGCAUGAUUUUCUUAUCAAAGAUUUAUUGCUUUGAGAUGGACCCGCGGCGCAUUAGCUAGUUGGUAAGGUAACGGCUUACCAAGGCAACGAUGCGUAGCCGACCUGAGAGGGUGAUCGGCCACAUUGGAACUGAGACACGGUCCAGACUCCUACGGGAGGCAGCAGUGGGGAAUAUUGCGCAAUGGGGGAAACCCUGACGCAGCAACGCCGCGUGGGUGAUGAAGGUCUUCGGAUUGUAAAGCCCUGUUUUCUAGGACGAUAAUGACGGUACUAGAGGAGGAAGCCACGGCUAACUACGUGCCAGCAGCCGCGGUAAUACGUAGGUGGCGAGCGUUGUCCGGAUUUACUGGGCGUAAAGGGUGCGUAGGCGGAUGUUUAAGUGGGAUGUGAAAUCCCCGGGCUUAACCUGGGGGCUGCAUUCCAAACUGGAUAUCUAGAGUGCAGGAGAGGAAAGCGGAAUUCCUAGUGUAGCGGUGAAAUGCGUAGAGAUUAGGAAGAACACCAGUGGCGAAGGCGGCUUUCUGGACUGUAACUGACGCUGAGGCACGAAAGCGUGGGUAGCAAACAGGAUUAGAUACCCUGGUAGUCCACGCCGUAAACGAUGGAUACUAGGUGUAGGGGUAUCAA